rnacentral:rRNA from 1 species
UACGUAGGGUGCAAGCGUUGUCCGGAAUUACUGGGCGUAAAGAGCUCGUAGGUGGUUUGUCGCGUUGUUCGUGAAAACCGGGGGCUUAACCCUCGGCGUGCGGGCGAUACGGGCAGACUUGAGUACUGCAGGGGAGACUGGAAUUCCUGGUGUAGCGGUGGAAUGCGCAGAUAUCAGGAGGAACACCGGUGGCGAAGGCGGGUCUCUGGGCAGUAACUGACGCUGGAGGAGCGAAAGCGUGGGGAGCGAACAGG